AGAGGCCUCGCGAGGCAGGGCUAGAAGCUGUGGCCUCACCCUUGAGGCCCGGGCACUUCCCGUCUCCUCCCUUGCUCCCCUUCCUCACCCCAAUCCCUACAGCCUCCCGCGCAGCCUGAGCUCUAGGAUUGUGGGUUUUCCAUCCUCCGAAGACAUCACCUUUGCUCAUCUCCCAGGAGAGUCUCGUCCAAAGGAGGGGGGUGCUUUCUGCUUCAGCAGAUCCCACCCCACCCUGGGAUCCGAGGGAGCAAUGGUGGGGCGAGUGAGGGUCUGCCGUAAAUAUCCCCCGACCACCCUCUGGGAAGGUGCUAGAGGCCACAGGCAAAUUUCAGUCUCCCCAUGGAAUAUCUGCUGUGCUGCUGCUGCUGCUGCUGCUGAACUCUUAGGGUCACCUGGAGCACCUUGGGAGCCAGAGAUGCAGCCAAAGAGUGAACAAUGGUACCAAUCCCAAGACCCAUGUGUUAAGAAGAAACCAGCCAAGACUCAGAUCAGGAUUGGGGAGUCCACCCCUCGUUUCCCUUCAGAGCAUUAUUUCCUUGUUUGCUAAGAG
ensembl:lncRNA C1RL-AS1 C1RL antisense RNA 1